GAAAUGCCAAUUCUUACAUUUAGUUUAUAGUAAGAUCGUGUCCGGCGCGUAUGUAACGUGUCAUGAAACUAGAAUAUUAUGUUUCGUAUAUAAAUUUGCGCAAUGAAAUAAUAAAAAAUAUAUUAUUAAACUAUAAUAUUAUUGUUAAUUGAUAAUAUAUACUAGGUUAUGCUUAUUCUCAUAUGUGAUCGAUAUUUCAGUGAAGAAAAUGUGAAUAAAUAUAAUAUUUUACAAUAAUUAAUAGUGAGUCUAAUAAUACUUGUAUUCAACGGAAGUAUGUUAUCACAGUUAUUAUACUAUGGUACAUAAUUUACAAUGGCUUUCAAUGCAAUAAAUAACAAAAAAUGGCAAUCAAAAGGUGGACAAUUAAAUAAAUUUAUUAGAAAACGAAUACCUAUCGUGGGAUGGUUAUCAAAUUAUAAUUCCGAAAAAUUUUUGAAUGAUGCUAUCGCUGGCAUCACAGUCGGGCUUACUGUUAUGCCGCAAGGACUUGCUUAUGCUACCUUAGCUGGUUUAGAACCUCAGUAUGGUCUUUAUUCUGCAUUUAUGGGAGCUAUGGUAUAUAUAGUAUUUGGUUCAUGCAAAGAUAUUACAAUUGGACCCACUGCUCUUAUGGCAUUAAUGACUCACGAGUAUGUUCAAGGUAGAAAUGCGGAUAUGUUAUUAAUACAAAUUUUUUAAAAAUACUGUGUUGACACUUACUUGAAAUUGCAAAAUUCCUUUACAGGAGUACUUAUAGAUUUUAUUUCAAUACCAGUUACAGUUGGUUUUACUUCUGCAACAUCCAUUAUAAUUGUAGUUUCUCAAUUGAAAGGUCUUUUAGGAUUAAAAAUUUCUUCACAAGGAACCUUAGAUACUCUAACAAAAGUAUUACAGAACAUUCAUCAGACUAGAUUGUGGGAUACUUUGAUGAGUUUUUCUUGUAUCACUAUUUUAUUAUUGUUUAGGAAAAUGAAAGAUAUCAAGUUAUAUUCAAACAAUGAUAAACUAAAUAAAUAUCAAAGAAUAUUGAUGAAAAUGAUAUGGUUAUUAUCAACAGCUAGAAAUGCUGUUAUUGUUAUAAUUUGUUCUACUAUUGCCUACAAAUUGAACUCUAUUGAAUAUGGUUCUCCAUUUAUUCUUACUGGUCCUGUAAGAUCUGGUCUUCCAUCUUUUGGAUUGCCACCUUUUUCUACUCAAGUAAAAAAUGAAACUUUAAAUUUCAUUGAAAUGUGUUCAGAAUUGGGUGCGUCCAUAGCAUUAGUACCUAUAAUUGGAGUUCUUGGAAAUGUGGCAAUAGCAAAAGCCUUUGCAAAUGGUGAUAAAGUAGAUGCCACUCAAGAACUGAUUACAUUAGGUAUUUGUAAUGUUCUUGGAUCUUGCGCAAGUGCAAUGCCAGUGACUGGCUCCUUUAGCAGAUCUGCAGUAAAUCAUGCUAGUGGUGUAAAAACGCCAAUGGGUGGUUUAUACACUGGAAUAUUAAUAUUAUUAGCAUUGAGUCUAUUUACUCCUUACUUUUACUUUAUACCAAAGGCUUCCUUAUCUGCAGUUAUUAUCUCUGCAGUAAUAUACAUGAUUGAAUAUCAAGUUGUAAAACUCAUAUGGAAAACUAGUAAAAAAGAUUUGAUUCCAAUGUUUGCUACUUUCUUAUUCUGUUUAAUUAUUGGAGUUGAAUAUGGAAUUUUAAUAGGUGUAGGAACAAAUCUUAUAUUCUUAUUGUAUCCUUCUGCACGUCCUACAAUACAUGUUGACAAAUGUACAACAACUUCUGGUGCUGACUAUCUCUUAGUAACACCAGGAAACAGUUUAUAUUUUCCUGCUGUAGAUUUUAUUAAAAAGUCGGUCGGCAAUGCCGGUAUAAAACAAGGUUCUAGUCAAGUUCCAGUUGUAGUUGACUGCAGAUAUAUUUUAGGAGCUGAUUUUACUGCUGCAAAAGGUAUAGCAACAUUGAUAAAUGAAUUUAACAAUCGAAAACAAGGUCUGUAUUUUUACAAUCCGCGGUCGGAUGUUAUUGCUGUACUUAAAGGAGCUUGCGGAGAAGAAUUUCAAUACAUUUCUACCGAAGAUGAAUUAUUGUACUUAUUAUCGACGCAUCAAGAUAAAACAUCGCAACAACUUUUGGAAAUAACACGUGAUAAAUCACAUGAACCACUAAUGUUAAGUAGUCUUGAAAUCAUUCAUCGAAACAAUCGUUCAUGUCAAGAACUUAAUGAAGUUACAACUACAUUGUUACAUGCUACAGCUAGUUAAAAAAUAAAUAAUGUUAUCUAUAUUAAAUUCAUUUCAAACUUUUCGAAAAAUGAUUUUUAUGAACAUUUUUCAUGAAAAUUGUAUCUUUGAAUUUUUUUUUUUUUAUUUUUACACCUUUUUUUUAAAUAGUGGUGCACUUCAUAGAACAUUAAAUAAUUUCUAAUAUUAUAGAAUUAAAUUUAAAAAAUUAAAAUUUAUAACAAAUUGUGCAUGACAUUAAUUAAGAUGUAAAUAUACGUAACUUUGUAUACAUAAA